CGAAUUUCCUACUGCUCGGUCUGUCUGUGUGGAAUCCGAGAGUGGUGCAGUUCCCUUCCGCAAGUUGCGUUAUUCGAAGUGAAUGGCUGGGUGGUGCGUGUACGCCCAGAGCGUAGCACCCAUAGGCGGACGGGGUGCGGCUGCGCAGGGACCUGAGUGGGCCUUGUACGCCGGUAGCGUAGCCUGGUGUCUGACGCGCGGGCCUCCGCGACGCACUUAGCGCAGCCGGCUUUGGUGAAUACACGAUUUGGUGCAGCCGGGGUUUGGUACCGAGCGGAGAGGAGAUGCACACGGCACUCGAGUGUGAGGUUGAUGUGUACCCCACAGACGUGCCCUUACACUCACUGAAUCCUGAAGACUUGGUGUUAUUAAAGACCUGGAAGAGCAAGCAUCCAGAGGACCAACUCCAACCUCUUUGGACAGGACCUUCUGUGGUCCUGUUGACCACCCAUUCUUCAGUGAAACUAAAGGGAGUUAAGCCAUGGAUUCACCACACUCAGAUGAAGCUGGUUCCAUAAGAAUCCACAGGUUCCCUAUACCCUGUCAGCAAGGAGAGCAUCAAAAAGAAUCCUGCUUGGAUCAGUGAGCCUCUGAUGGACCUAAAACUAGGAGAGCUCGUCCAAAGAAAUCAAUCAAUACUUAGCGUUUUUCUAUAGUUGGCAGCCUCUCAAGCUUGAAAAGAUAAUCUACCAUUAGGAUUUUGCCAACGUUGGCCAAGGCUAACAGUCUUUCUCACUGUUGGAUAUGUCAUUCUGACCCUGGUUCAGAGUACAACCGCAGCAACCCAGUAGUAAUGCCUGUAACCUUUUCUUGGUCUAAUUUGAUGUACUCCGUAAGUUUAGAGUCAGGUUAAUCAAGUCAUCCAAUUAACCAUACUUCUUGGUUUCAAAUGAUAUCUUCAGUGAUGCUGCAGAAUGAAAGUACUGAUCCUCCUGAAUUAACAGGAGUGCUAUGUGCAUCCUCAGGUUACAUUUUGUUUGUAGAUAUGAAUACUUUACUAGGGGAAUGAGAGUACAAAAAUCUUGGUAAUGUAGAAUGCUGUGUUUCAGUUUGUAUGUUGGAACUAAAGAAUAUUUCUAAACGAGUGCAGAAAGUUCUAGUCUUUUAACUCCGAUCUUCUCUCCAUUUCAGCUAGAAGUAACUAGAGCGGUCACGGUCCCAAUUCCCUCAAGAAUGAGGAAUGAUCAAAAGACAGUGGGGAUUGAAACAGAUGACCAAAGAUUAAUAGGACUAAUAAGUGCAGCUGCAGCUUUUUACCCAGACUUUUUUUUUAUGUUUGCCUUGAAACAUCUGUCUCCUUCUUAGGGGAGGCAGAUUUGAGGCUUGCUCUCCCAUCUCCUUGUCUCUUUGUCUGACUGCCUCUCCAAUAAACCCUUUCCUUGAUGCAUA